UACAGAGGUCCCAAGCGUUGUUCGGAUUCACUGGGCGUAAAGGGUGCGUAGGCGGUCGGGUAAGUCUGAUGUGAAAUCUCACAGCUUAACUGUGAAACUGCAUUGGAUACUAUCCGGCUCGAGGAAUGGAGGGGAGACUGGAAUACUUGGUGUAGCAGUGAAAUGCGUAGAUAUCAAGUGGAACACCAGUGGCGAAGGCGAGUCUCUGGGCCGUAACUGACGCUGAGGAGCGAAAGCGUGGGGAGCGAACAGG
rnacentral:rRNA from 1 species